GCAUAUCAAUAAGCGGAGGAAAAGAAACUAACAAGGAUUCCCUUAGUAACGGCGAGUGAAGAGGGAAAAGCUCAAAUUUUAAAUCUAUCAUGUUUGUACAUGAUCGAAUUGUAAUUUGAAGAAGCGUUUUCUCGUACUUUAUGCAAUCAGUAUAAGUUCUCUUGGAACAGGACAUCAUAGAGGGUGAUAAUCCCGUCUGUUACUGGUUGUGAGGUUCGUUAUGAUACGCUUUCAAAGAGUCGAGUUGUUUGGGAUUGCAGCUCCAAAUGGGUGGUAAACAUCACCUAAGGCUAAAUAUUUGCGAGAGACCGAUAGCGAACAAGUACCGUGAGGGAAAGAUGAAAAGAACUUUGAAAAGAGAGUUAAAAAGUAUGUGAAAUUGUUGAAAGGGAAACGAUUGAAGUCAGUCGUGCAGUCAUCAAUUCAGCGGUUAACAUUUUAUGUUUCCGUGUAAUUUGGUGUCUGUUGGUUAGCAUCAAUUUUGAUUGUUAUAAAAAGGUUAAGGGGAUGUGGCUCCUUCGGGAGUGUUAUAACCCUUAGCGUAAUGUAACGAUUAGGAUUGAGGUUUGCAACGAAUACCUUUUAGGGCAGUUUCACCUGGCCUCUCGUGGAAUUAUAGAUAGUUAAGAGCAUGCUCUUACUGUCUAUGAUUCUACGAAAAGGUUGGAGUGUAAAACUAAUUCGUUAAGGAUGUUGACGUA
rnacentral:rRNA from 1 species